rnacentral:rRNA from 1 species
CCAGCAUCCUAGCCGAAGCGCGGACCUCAGUCCCGGCUGGCCGUAUUACACCCUGGGCUAUAACACCUCCACCGAAGUGGAGGCCACAUUCCCAGAGCCUUUAUCCGGCCGCCGAAACUGAUGCUGGCCUGUCCAAACUGAGUAAACCGGUCAGAAGACCGGCCGAACAGUUUAAACAAGUCUGAUUGCAAGCGCUUCCCUUUCAACAAUUUCACGUGCUUUUUAACUCUCUUUCCAAAGUGCUUUUCAUCUUUCGAUCACUCUACUUGUGCGCUAUCGGUCUCUCGCCAAUAUUUAGCUUUAGAAGAAAUUUACCUCCCAUUUAGAGCUGCAUUCCCAAACAACUCGACUCGUCGAAGGAGAUUUACAUAGGGUGCCAUUUCCUGUCACAUACGGGAUUCUCACCCUCUAUGACGUCCUGUUCCAAGGAACUUAGACAGGCGGCUUCCCCAAAUCAUCCUCUACAAAUUACAAUGCGAACCCGAAGGCUAGCUUUCAAAUUUGAGCUGUUGCCGCUUCACUCGCCGUUACUAGGGC